CAUUUAUAUAAAUUACACUCUCUAGUAUGUUUUGGGAUCGUUUUACUCCAACGCUAACGGGGCUUUUAUUUUGCCUUUAUCAGCUGCGCGUCAUUACGUCACAAUGUGAGCGCCAAUGCUGCGUGCAGUUAUUCCACAGAGGAAUGUGUUUGGGUUUUGGGGCUCCAUUCGGAGUUUGAGGUGAAGCAGAUAAACAUGGAGCUUGUGAUUAAAGAAGUGAUUGAGGAGUUCUUACUCUUUCCGGAGACCUGCAGGGUCAAAGAGCAAACGGAGGAGCUGCUGGGUCAGUGUCCGUUCCUCUGUGGAAGCUAGCCCAAUGGUAUCACAACUAAAACUAAAGUACCACUGUGGUCCAUGAUGAACUGCACAUUUUACUUCACAGUAUGCAUUAUACACGAUUUCUUCUUCGAAAAUAACUGUAUAUUAGUAAUUUAAAAAAUUGUUGCAAUUAAAAAAUAUCUUGCCUUUGUUUAAAGGUGCCG